rnacentral:rRNA from 1 species
GCAAGUCGAGCGCUCUCCUUCGGGAGGGAGCGGCGGACGGGUUAGUAACGCGUGGGAACAUACCCUUUUCUACGGAAUAGCCUCUGGAAACGGUGAGUAAUACCUUAUACGCCCUUCGGGGGAAAGAUUUAUCGGAGAAGGAUCGGCCCGCGUUAGAUUAGAUAGUUGGUGGGGUAAUGGCCUACCAAGUCUACGAUCUAUAGCUGGUUUUAGAGGAUGAUC